rnacentral:lncRNA from 1 species
AAACGUCGCCUCUACCAUCUCGAUGGCUUAGACCCAGGGAGCCCUCCCCAGCUUCCAUCAAUGGAUUUUUAUAGUUAGGGUUAAAGACUGAGAGACCCUAUGCAUGUUCAAAUAUGCGAGUAGCAUAUCCAAUACAAAUCAAGAAAAAGAAAAGAGAAGACAUCACAAAAACAAAAUUUUGACAAAUUAUCUCUAUUGUAAAAUAGAGGGAGUAACUCAUUAUUCGAGAGAACUGGCCAUUGACAAUUCAGUUACAAUUAUCAAAGAGAACUAUAAAUUGCUAACUUAAUUACAUCAUUCUUCACAAAAGCUUCUCACUGAGGAAAUUUCUUGACUGGAAGGUCACAUUUCAAGCCAUUGCACUUAUAAAACCCAGCCCUGUUGUUAUUUAAAUUGCAAAUUAAUCAUCAAUAAUGCACAAUAAUUUAUGACCCACAAACGAUUUGGAGCCUAAGGAGGAGAAAAUGUCAAUGCAAAUAAAUACACACAUAGUAAGAUGCAUUGCAAUUGUCGUAUUACUUGAAUUUGUAAGCUGACCAGCAAACGCAUAGUACACAAAAGAGACAAAGCUUUAACCAUAAUUGGUGCUUAACCUUCUUGCUCCUGAUAAUGAUUUUGGCCAUGAAGGCAUCAGAGUAAGGGGAGGAAGAACGGAACGGCGCCUGCCGGAAGUUGCCGAUGGGUGUUGACGGCCUGGCCAAGCCAUCUCCCUCCAUGAUAGGUGGCAGACGGCGGAGAGGUGUAAAUAUGACAAGAUGUGAAAAUAAGCUCGAGGAAAUUAAUAUGGACCAGCAAACUGACAAAAGCAGAACAACAACAACAACAACAACAAAGCCUUUAGUCCCA